rnacentral:rRNA from 1 species
UGGGGAAUUUUGGACAAUGGGCGAAAGCCUGAUCCAGCAAUGCCGCGUGUGUGAAGAAGGCCUUCGGGUUGUAAAGCACUUUUGUCCGGAAAGAAAUCCUUGGCUCUAAUACAGUCGGGGGAUGACGGUACCGGAAGAAUAAGCACCGGCUAACUACGUGCCAGCAGCCGCGGUAAUACGUAGGGUGCAAGCGUUAAUCGGAAUUACUGGGCGUAAAGCGUGCGCAGGCGGUUUGCUAAGACCGAUGUGAAAUCCCCGGGCUCAACCUGGGAACUGCAUUGGUGACUGGCAGGCUAGAGUAUGGCAGAGGGGGGUAGAAUUCCACGUGUAGCAGUGAAAUGCGUAGAGAUGUGGAGGAAUACCGAUGGCGAAGGCAGCCCCCUGGGCCAAUACUGACGCUCAUGCACGAAAAGCGUGGGGAGCAAAACAGGAUUAGAUACCCUGGUAGUCCACGCCCUAAAACGAUGUCAACUAGUUGUUGGGGAUUCAUUCCUUAGUAACGUAGCUAACGCGUGAAGUUGACCGCCUGGGGAGUACGGUCGCAAAGAUUAAAACUCAAAGGAAUUGACGGGGUCAUAGCUGUUUCCU